AAUAGAUCAAUUGAAGAGGUAGCUUCAAAACCUAAACCAAACUUACACGAAUUUAAAACGAAGAAUAGUUCACCUUUUCAUAAAAUUUGAUAGAACGUUCAAGGUCACCCACACGAAGCAUCACUUGACAGAGUGGUUCAGGAGUUGGACCGCGUUGAAUUAGUUCGAAAAGGUAGCCAUCAGGAUCCUUAACAAAUGCAAUCACAGAUGAUCCACCUUUAACUGGACCUGGCUCUCGAGUGACAGUUCCACCCUUGGACUUUAUGUCUUCAACCAGUUUAUAAACCUAACGGAUGGAAACAGAAAAUGUCAGGCAAACUAAACUAUGCAAGGCACCAUAAUAUG
rnacentral:lncRNA from 1 species